ACCCGCUGAAYUUAAGCAUAUCAAUAAGCGGAGGAARAGAAACCMACAGGGWUUGCCCCAGUAACGGCGAGUGAAGCGGCAACAGCUCAAAUUUGAAAUCUGGUCCCCUUGCNGGGGCCCGAGUUGUAAUUUGAAGAGGAUGCUUCUGGCAAGGUGCCUUCCGAGUUCCCUGGAACGGGACGCCGCAGAGGGUGAGAGCCCCGUACGGUAGGACGCCGAGCCUCUGUGAAGCUCCUUCGACGAGUCGAGUAGUUUGGGAAUGCUGCUCAAAAUGGGAGGUAAACCCCUUCUAAAGCUAAAUACUGGCCAGAGACCGAUAGCGCACAAGUAGAGUGAUCGAAAGAUGAAAAGCACUUUGAAAAGAGAGUUAAAAAGCACGUGAAAUUGUUGAAAGGGAAGCGCUUGCGACCAGACUCGCGCCCGUCGGAUCAGCCGUCGCUUGCGGCGGUGCACUCCGGCGGGCUCGGGCCAGCAUCAGUUCGCCUCGGGGGGAGAAAGGCGGCAGGAAUGUGGCUCUUCGGAGUGUUAUAGCCUGCCGUAUAAUACCCCCGGGCGGACUGAGGACCGCGCGUAUGCAAGGAUGCUGGCGUAAUGGUCGUCAGCGACCCGUCUUGAAACACGGACCAAGGAGUCGUCCUAAUAUGCGAGUGUACGGGUGUCAAACCCCUGCGCGUAAUGAAAGUGAACGGAGGUGAGAGCUUCGGCGCAUCAUCGACCGAUCCUGAUGUUCUCGGAUGGAUUUGAGUAAGAGCAUAUUGGGCCGGACCCGAAAGAAGGUGAACUAUGCCUGUGUAGGGUAAAGCCAGAGGAAACUCUGGUGGAGGCUCGCAGCGGUUCUGACGUGCAAAUCGAUCGUCAAACAUGGGCAUGGGGNCGAAAGACUAAUCGAACUUCUAGUAGCUGGUUCCGCCGAAGUUUCCUCAGA
rnacentral:sRNA from 1 species